UACGUAGGGGGCAAGCGUUGUCCGGAAUCAUUGGGCGUAAAGCGCGUGUAGGCGGCCCGGUACGUCCGCUGUGAAAGUCGGGGGCUCAACCCUCGAAUGCCGGUGGAUACUGUCGGGCUAGAGUGCGGAAGAGGCGAGUGGAAUUCCUGGUGUAGCGGUGAAAUGCGCAGAUAUCAGGAGGAACACCAAUUGCGAAGGCAGCUCGCUGGGACGUUACUGACGCUGAGACGCGAAAGCGUGGGGAGCAAACAGG
rnacentral:rRNA from 1 species